rnacentral:rRNA from 1 species
UACGGAGGGGGCUAGCGUUGUUCGGAAUUACUGGGCGUAAAGCGCGCGCAGGCGGUCCUUUAAGUCUGAUGUGAAAGCCCACGGCUCAACCGUGGAGGGUCAUUGGAAACUGGGGGACUUGAGUACAGAAGAGGAAAGCGGAAUUCCACGUGUAGCGGUGAAAUGCGUAGAGAUGCGGAGGAACACCAGUGGCGAAAGCGACUUUCUGGUCCUUAACUGACGCUGAGGCGCGAAAGCAUGGGGAGCGAACGGG